rnacentral:rRNA from 1 species
AAGCUCCGCAAGGGGUAAGUAGAGUGGCAAACGGGUGAGUAACGCGUGGGUGACCUGCCUUCGAGUGGGGGAUAACCUUCCGAAAGGAGGGCUAAUACCGCAUGACAUUCCGUGUUUGGAUACAUGGAAAUCAAAGCCGGGGAUCGCAAGACCUGGCGCUUGAAGAGGGACCUGCGUCCGAUUAGCUAGUUGGUGGGGUAACGGCUCACCAAGGCUCCGAUCGGUAUCCGGCCUGAGAGGGCGGACGGACACACUGGAACUGAGACACGGUCCAGACUCCUACGGGAGGCAGCAGUGGGGAAUUGUUCGCAAUGGGCGCAAGCCUGACGACGCAACGCCGCGUGGAGGAUGAAGACCUUCGGG